CCCUUAGAUGUUCUGGGCCGCACGCGCGCUACACUGACGGGGCCAACGAGUCUUUUCCUUGUCCGGAAGGACUGGGUAAUCUUGUGAAACUUCGUCGUGCUGGGGAUAGAGCAUUGCAAUUAUUGCUCUUCAACGAGGAAUUCCUAGUAAGCGUGAGUCAUCAGCUCGCGUUGAUUACGUCCCUGCCCUUUGUACACACCGCCCGUCGCUACUACCGAUUGAAUGGCUUAGUGAGCCUUUGGGAUUGGCAGCUUGUACCGGCAACGGUAGCAGGCAGCCGAAAACUUAGGCAAACUUGGUCAUUUAGAGGAAGUAAAAGUCGUAACA
rnacentral:rRNA from 1 species